rnacentral:rRNA from 1 species
GCCAGUCUGCAUGGAGCCGGCCUUGAAAUACCACCCUUUAAUGUUUGAUGUUCUAACGUGGACCCGUGAUCCGGGUUGCGGACAGUGUCUGGUGGGUAGUUUGACUGGGGCGGUCUCCUCCUAAAGAGUAACGGAGGAGCACGAAGGUUGGCUAAUCCUGGUCGGACAUCAGGAGGUUAGUGCAAUGGCAUAAGCCAGCUUGACUGCGAGCGUGACGGCGCGAGCAGGUGCGAAAGCAGGUCAUAGUGAUCCGGUGGUUCUGAAUGGAAGGGCCAUCGCUCAACGGAUAAAAGGUACUCCGGGGAUAACAGGCUGAUACCGCCCAAGAGUUCAUAUCGACGGCGGUGUUUGGCACCUCGAUGUCGGCUCAUCACAUCCUGGGGCUGAAGUAGGUCCCAAGGGUAUGGCUGUUCGCCAUUUAAAGUGGUACGCGAGCUGGGUUUAGAACGUCGUGAGACAGUUCGGUCCCUAUCUGCCGUGGGCGCUGGAGAACUGAGGGGGGCUGCUCCUAGUACGAGAGGACCGGAGUGGACGCAUCACUGGUGUUCGGGUUGUCAUGCCAAUGGCACUGCCCGGUAGCUAAAUGCGGAAGAGAUAAGUGCUGAAAGCAUCUAAGCACGAAACUUGCCCCGAGAUGAGUUCUCCCUGAGACUUUAGGUCUCCUGAAGGAACGUUGAAGACGACGACGUUGAUAGGCCGGGUGUGUAAGCGCAGCGAUGCGUUGAGCUAACCGGUACUAAUGAACCGUGAGGCUUAACCUUACA